GAGGAGGUGAGACAGAAAGAGGAGAUGCGCUUAGUGGAGGAGGCUCGUCUGAUACGCCUGGAGGAGGAGAAGAAACUGGCAGAAGAGAAGAUCCGAGAAGAGGAG